rnacentral:lncRNA from 1 species
AACAGAAGUUUGCAGAGCCUAAAUAUCCGAACCUUGGAGGAGUGGAAAUGAAUCAGUAUUUUAUUUAUGAAAUUAAGAUAAUUAGACUUAAGAUAAAAUGUGAUGGAUCCAACGUAAAGCCACUUCACUAAAUCUGAAAAGCAAGAUUACAUCGUGUGCACCACCCAAAGGCUAAUUACGAUCAAUCACCACACACAUGUGCUUGAUCACAUUCUCCUCCCUCCUUCCCCGCUUCCCCUCUGGAAGAUUUGCCCUGAGCUAACAUCUGCUGCUAAUCUUCCUCUUUUUGUAUAUGAGCCACGACGACAGCAUGGCCUCUGACAGAGGAGUGGUGUAGGUCUGCGUCCAGGAACUGCACCCAGGCUGCCAAAGCGGAGCAUGCCGAAAUUAACCACUAGGCCACUGGGGCUGGCCUGCUUAGUAACUUUUUAAACUUAAAAUAUCUUGGUGACAUGUCUGUGCUUAUAGAUCUACCUCAUUUUGGUAAUGGCAUAGGAUUCUAUAUAAAAGACAAAUCAUAAUUUAGCUAACCCUUCCCCAGUGGAUAGAGUUUGAGUUCCCAGUUACCUACCAUCACAAACACUCCUGUGACAAUCAUCCUUGCACCCAUAUCUUUUGGCUCACUUCUACAAGUAUGGGCUUCCUUCUCUAAUGCUAUGUAUGAGCUCCUAAAAAUCCUUACGUUCUUCAAGAUGGUGCAGUUAAGAUACCAGGACAUAAAAUAGAGUGUGGCAGAUCACUCAACACCUAUCCCUCUUGGAAACUAGAGCACCAACAAAACCAAGUUGAUAAUUGGGGACAUCAUGUGGGCUGUCCAGGCAAGAGAGCUCUGUGUGCCUGGGGCUGCCACGGUGGAGAUUAAAAAUGUACAAAGUCAGUAAAUGGAAAUGCUGAUAAAAGUAGGGCUG